rnacentral:rRNA from 1 species
GACGAACGCUGGCGGCGUGCUUAACACAUGCCAGUCGAACGGAAAGGCCCUGCUUUUGUGGGGUGCUCGAGUGGCGAACGGGUGAGUAACACGUGAGUAACCUGCCCUUGACUUUGGGAUAACUUCAGGAAACUGGGGCUAAUACCGGAUAGGAGCUCCUGCUGCAUGGUGGGGGUUGGAAAGUUUCGGCGGUUGGGGAUGGACUCGCGGCUUAUCAGCUUGUUGGUGGGGUAGUGGCUUACCAAGGCUUUGACGGGUAGCCGGCCUGAGAGGGUGACCGGCCCCAUUGGGACUGGGAUACGGCCCAGACUCCUACGGGAGGCAGCAGUGGGGAAUAUUGCACAAUGGGCGGAAGCCUGAUGCAGCAACGCCGCGUGCGGGAUGACGGCCUUCGGGUUGUAAACCGCUUUCGCCUGUGACGAAGCGUGAGUGACGGUAAUGGGUAAAGAAGCACCGGCAAACUACGU